rfam:Xiphophorus maculatus strain JP 163 A Contig350.19, whole genome shotgun sequence.
UGUCCGUCACGAAUCUUUUUGCGGUCUGGGCUUGCUGUGCAUACAUGAAUCCGGGAAGCCCUUACCCCAAAAAGCAUUCGUGGAGGACG